CAGUCGCCGCGGUAAUACAGAGGGUGCGAGCGUUAAUCGGAUUUACUGGGCGUAAAGCGUGCGUAGGCGGCUUUUUAAGUCGGAUGUGAAAUCCCUGAGCUUAACUUAGGAAUUGCAUUCGAUACUGGGAAGCUAGAGUAUGGGAGAGGAUGGUAGAAUUUCAGGUGUAGCGGUGAAAUGCGUAGAGAUCUGGAGGAAUACCGAUGGCGAAGGCAGCCAUCUGGCCUAAUACUGACGCUGAGGUACGAAAGCAUGGGGAGCAAACAGGAUUAGAUACCCCAGUAGUCCCUGUCUCUUAUAC
rnacentral:rRNA from 1 species